GACGAACGCUGGCGGCGUGCUUAACACAUGCAAGUCGAACGGAAAGGCCCUGCUUUUGUGGGGUGCUCGAGUGGCGAACGGGUGAGUAACACGUGAGUAACCUGCCCUUGACUUUGGGAUAACUUCAGGAAACUGGGGCUAAUACCGGAUAGGAGCUCCUGCUGCAUGGUGGGGGUUGGAAAGUUUCGGCGGUUGGGGAUGGACUCGCGGCUUAUCAGCUUGUUGGUGGGGUAGUGGCUUACCAAGGCUUUGACGGGUAGCCGGCCUGAGAGGGUGACCGGCCACAUUGGGACUGAGAUACGGCCCAGACUCCUACGGGAGGCAGCAGUGGGGAAUAUUGCACAAUGGGCGGAAGCCUGAUGCAGCAACGCCGCGUGCGGGAUGACGGCCUUCGGGUUGUAAACCGCUUUCGCCUAUGACGAAGCGUGAGUGACGGUAAUGGGUGAAGAAGCACCGGCUAACUACGUG
rnacentral:rRNA from 1 species